rnacentral:rRNA from 1 species
CUAAGGCUGAUGGCGACCGGCGCACGGGUGAGUAACACGUAUCCAACCUGCCGUCUACUCUUGGCCAGCCUUCUGAAAGGAAGAUUAAUCCAGGAUGGCAUCAUGAGUUCACAUGUCCGCAUGAUUAAAGGUAUUUUCCGGUAGACGAUGGGGAUGCGUUCCAUUAGAUAGUAGGCGGGGUAACGGCCCACCUAGUCAACGAUGGAUAGGGGUUCUGAGAGGAAGGUCCCCCACAUUGGAACUGAGACACGGUCCAAACUCCUACGGGAGGCAGCAGUGAGGAAUAUUGGUCAAUGGGCGAUGGCCUGAACCAGCCAAGUAGCGUGAAGGAUGACUGCCCUAUGGGUUGUAAACUUCUUUUAUAAAGGAAUAAAGUCGGGUAUGCAUACCCGUUUGCAUGUACUUUAUGAAUAAGGAUCGGCUAACUCCGUGCCAGCAGCCGCGGUAAUACGGAGGAUCCGAGCGUUAUCUGGAUUUAUUGGGUUUAAAGGGAGCGUAGAUGGAUGUUUAAGUCAGUUGUGAAAGUUUGCGGCUCAACCGUAAAAUUGCAGUUGAUACUGGAUGUCUUGAGUGCAGUUGAGGCAGGCGGAAUUCGUGGUGUAGCGGUGAAAUGCUUAGAUAUCACGAAGAAUUCCGAUUGCGAAGGCAGCCUGCUAAGCUGCAACUGACAUUGAGGCUCGAAAGUGUGGGUAUCAAAC